ACGGAGUUUCACUCUUGUUGCCCAGGCUGGAGUGCAACAGCAUGAUCUCAGCUCACCGCAGCCUCCGCCUCCCAGGUUCAAGCAAUUCUCUUGCCUCAGCCUCCCAAGUAGCUGGGAUUACAGGCAUGCACCACCACGCCCAGCUAAUUUUGUAUUUUUAGUAGAGAUGGGGUUUCUCCAUGUUGGUCAGGCUGGUCUCGAACUCCUGACCUCAGGUGAUCCGCCCACCUUCACCUCCCGAAGUGCUGGGAUUACAGGUGUGCGCUACCAUGCCUGGCCUCAGGUAUUUCUUUAUAGUAAUGUGAGAAUGGUCUAAUAAAGAAAAAUUAUAUUCCCUUCAUUCCAAAGAUAACUUCCAUGUGGCAGACACACAUUUAUUCAAAUAUACAUUUGUGUCUCUGUUCACAUGUCAACUAAAAGAAGCUUUCUUUGAGUAACACCUCCCACCAGCCAUUCUUUAUCACCUUACGAUGACUUCCUCAAACCACCAAUCACCCCUGACUCACACUUACCUGUUCACUCUCUGUUGGCACCAUCAGCAUGUCAUCUCCAUGACAACAUGAUUUUGUUUGCUUUGUUCUCUACCAUAUCCCAAGCACCGAGAACAGUUUCUGGCACAUGGUAGGCACAGAAUAAAUAUUUAUUAAAUGAAUGAAUGUGCUGGGUAUGCAAAGAAAGCUACGCAAAUGGGAAUCCCACUCACACACCCUAUUUCUACUUUCUGAUCAUCUCUGCCAUCAGUUGCCAACCUUUUGUCAAGGUAAAAGAUGUAUUUUCAUUUCUGUUUUCCAAAUGCAAGCUAUUGACCUCAGUACUAUUUCAGUUAGUAUAUAAAAACAAGUACCCUGCUAGAAACUGUGUCCAAAACAGUCCAAGAUGCCAGAACAAAUUCAUUCCUUUCAACAUUUCCAGGGCAACAGCAAAUCCAAGAUGACCUUCAAGUUUGCUUUUGCCAAAAUGCAUUAUAACCCUGCUCAAAUAAAUGUUCACCAGAAGCAUCUGAGCUCACCAGAUAAAUGGAAUUUAAAUAACACAUUUCCUAUCUGGAAAUACUCUGUAUACAAUUUAACUCAUCUGAUUCUGUUAAUAAAUUUUAGGUUGAACAGAAUCAAGCUACCAACAAACUUUUUAAAUUUUGUUUGCUGUAUACUUUAAAAAGGUGAAUUUUAAGGUUUAUGAAUGAUAUCUCAAUUUUUAAAAAGUACUAAUGGAAAGAAAUUCUACAAAAUAUCUAACUGGUAAUCUUCAAAACCGUCAAGGUCACCAAAAACAAAGUCAAGUGCGUGUGGUGGCUCACGCUAUAAUCCCAGUACUUUGGGAUGGGCCAAGGUGGGAGGAUUGCUUGAGCCCAGGAGUUUGAGACCAGCUUGGGAAACAUAGUGGGAUUCUGUUGCUACAAAAAAUGAAAAAUUGGCCAGGCGUGGUGGUGCAUGCCUGUAGUCCCAGCUACUCAGGAGGCUGAAGUGGCAGGAUUGCCUGAGCCUGGGAGGUUGAAGCUGCAAUGAGCCAUCAUCAGGCCACUGCACUCCAGCCUGGGCAACAGAGAGAGCAUCAGGAAAAACAGCUAAUGCAUGCUGGGCUUAAUACCGAGGUGAUGGGUCGACAUGUGCAGCGAAUCAUCAUGGCAGGUGUUUACCUAGGUUUUAAUCCCAUGCAACAAAGUUCAAUGAGUAUAAACUGAUCAUCUACCAUAGGUCUGGCAUUGGGGAUGAGCUCUCGGAUGACGCAUUCCUUCCCAAUUUCUUCUCCUAGAACAUUUCAACUCAUUCUUCAAUAUCCAGCUCAAAUAUGACUUUCUUGGCAAUGCUCCCUCUUCUUCCCAACAGUAGAAUUAAUCAGUCGCCUCCCCGUGUACCCACCACAUUUUUGUAUUCAGCUCUUUUGCAGAACUCGUAAUGCUGGACUUCACAUCAUGAGUACAUCAAUACUUUAAUAUUUUAAUCUAGGAACCAUGUUAUUUUGUUCUACAUUUGGCCCACU
rnacentral:lncRNA from 1 species